UGAACGCUGGCGGCAGGCUUAACACAUGCAAGUCGAGCCGGGGAAAGGUAGCUUGCUACCUAACCUAGCGGCGGACGGGUGAGUAAUGCUUAGGAAUCUGCCUAUUAGUGGGGGACAACAUUCUGAAAGGAAUGCUAAUACCGCAUACGCCCUACGGGGGAAAGCAGGGGAUCUUCGGACCUUGCGCUAAUAGAUGAGCCUAAGUCAGAUUAGCUAGUUGGUGGGGUAAAGGCCUACCAGGGCGACGAUCUGUAGCGGGUCUGAGAGGAUGAUCCGCCACACUGGGACUGAGACACGGCCCAGACUCCUACGGGAGGCAGCAGUGGGGAAUAUUGGACAAUGGGCGAAAGCCUGAUCCAGCCAUGCCGCGUGUGUGAAGAAGGCCUUUUGGUUGUAAAGCACUUUAAGCGAGGAGGAGGCUACUUGGAUUAAUACUCUUGGAUAGUGGACGUUACUCGCAGAAUAAGCACCGGCUAACUCUGUGCCAGCAGCCGCGGUAAU
rnacentral:rRNA from 1 species